CACGUAGGGUGCGAGCGUUGUCCGGAAUUAUUGGGCGUAAAGAGCUCGUAGGCGGUGUGUCGCGUCGGCCGUGAAAACCUGCAGCUUAACUGUGGGCUUGCGGUCGAUACGGGCAUCACUGGAGUUCGGCAGGGGAGACUGGAAUUCCUGGUGUAGCGGUGAAAUGCGCAGAUAUCAGGAGGAACACCGGUGGCGGAGGCGGGUCUCUGGGCCGAUACUGACGCUGAGGAGCGAAAGCGUGGGGAGCGAACAGGA
rnacentral:rRNA from 1 species